rnacentral:rRNA from 1 species
AUGCCAGGUGUACCUAGAGAACUCGCUGAGCACACUCUCAAUGUUGAUCCGAAAUUUAAGCCGGUCAGGCAAUUCCUUCGGCGGUUUAAUGAAGAGAGGCGGAAAGCCAUUGGUGAGGAGGUGGCCCGGCUCUUGGCGGCCGGGUUUAUUGUUGAAGUCUUUCACCCAGAGUGGUUAGCUAACCUGGUGCUCGUGCUCAAGAAGAAUGGCACCUGGCGGAUGUGUGUGGACUACACGGACUUAAACAAGGCAUGCCCGGCUGAUCCUUUUGCCCUCCCCCGUAUUGAUCAAAUCAUUGAUGCUACGGCGGGUUGCGAGCGCUUAAGUUUCUUGGAUGCUUAUUCUGGAUACCAUCAGAUUAAAAUGGCAGUUAAAGACCAGGAGAAAACGGCGUUCAUCACUCCCUUUGGAGCCUUCUGUUAUGUGUCUAUGCCUUUUGGACUCAAGAGUGCACAUGCGACUUAUCAGCGUUGCGUGCCGAACUGUCUUCAUAACCAGAUUGGGCGCAAUGUUCAUGCCUAUGUGGAUGAUAUUGUGGUUAAGUCCAGGGAGAAGGAAACCUUGAUAGAUGAUCUGAGGGAAACCUUUGACAAUCUCCGGGUCUACAAGAUGAUGCUUAACCCGACGAAGUGUGUUUUUGGUGUUGCUGCAGGCAAGCUCUUGGGUUUUCUGGUUUCUCAUAGAGGCAUUGAAGCUAACCCGGAGAAGAUCAAGGCAAUCACCUCUCUGGAUAAGCCGGCGUGUAUAAACGACGUCCAGCGCCUGGCGGGUCGUAUCGCUGCUUUAAGCCGGUUUAUAAGCCGUUUGGGUGAGAAGGCCAUGCCACUGUACCAGUUGAUGAAGAAAACUGAUGACUUUAUCUGGAAUGAUGCUGCUAAUGCUGCUUUUGAGGAUUUGAAGAGACAGCUGGCUGAGCCCCUAGUCCUUGCUGCUCCGGUUGACAAGGAGCCCUUAUUACUGUAUGUAGCUGCCAACACACGAGCCGUCAGUGUGGUUGUGGUGGUGGAGCGCAAGGAAGAGGGUAAGGAAUAUCCGGUUCAAUGGCCGGUUUAUUACGUCAGUGAAGUGCUCAUCGAGUCAAAACAGCGGUAUCCACAUUGGCAGAAGCUUGUUUAUGGUGUGUUCAUGGCAAGCCGGAAGCUUAAGCACUACUUUCAGGGUCACUCCAUUACGGUGGUUAGUUCUGCUCCCCUUGGAGAUAUCAUCCAAAACAGAGAAGCUACAGGGAGAGUGGCUAAGUGGGCUAUAGAACUUGGGCCUCAUGGUCUGAAAUACGUACCGCGCACGGCUGUUAAAUCUCAAGCUUUGGUGGAUUUCAUCAACGAUUGGACAGAGCUACAGGUGCCUGAAGAAAAGCCGGAUAAUACAUAUUGGACUAUUCACUUUGAUGGGUCUAGGCAAUUGGAAGGCUCGGGGGCUGGAGUUGUAUUGGCUUCCCCUAAAGGUGACAAGUUUCAUUAUGUGCUACGGUUGAUGUUUCCUUGUACUAACAAUGCGGCUGAGUACGGGGCCUUGCUCCAUGGCCUUCGGAUGGCUAAGGAGAUGAGCUUGAGCCGAGUAAGGUGCUUCGGCGACUCAGAUCUAGUGGCUCAACAAGUAUCAGGCAAGUGGGAUUCCAAGGACCCUCUCAUGGCGGCUUAUCGUCGUGAAGUCGAUACCAUUGCUGGACACUUUCAGGGUUACCAAGUAGAGCACAUCGAUCGCAGGAAGAACGAGGCGGCUGAUGCAUUAAGCUGGCUGGGCUCUCAGCGAAAACCGGUGCCGCCUAAUACUUUCUUGGACAUCUUGCAUAACCCUUCGGUUAAGGUACCUACAGAGGAAGACUUGGCUGUCCCUGACCCGGAGGCACAGUUGGUGGCGGCUCUCCACAUCACCCCGGACUGGACGGUGCCAUACUUGGCUUACAUGACCCAGGGAGAUUUGCCUGAGGAUGAAACUUUGGCCAGACAAAUAACCCGGCGGUCUAAGUCAAUGGUUGUUAUCGAUGGUGAGCUGCAUCGCCGCAGUGUUACGGGAGCGUUCCAGCGUUGUGUCUCCCCUGAGGAGGGUCAAGAAAUCUUGCGUGAGAUUCACGAAGGGGAUUGUGGCCAUCAUGCCGGCUCAAAAUCCCUUGUGGCCAAGGCUUUUUGUCAUGGUUUUUAUUGGCUGACGGCUCAUGCUGACGCGGAGGACUUGGUCAGUAAAUGUGAUGGUUGCCAGAGGUUCUCGCGACGGGCUCAUGUGCCGGCUCAGGAGCUGAGGAUGAUUCCAAUUACUUGGCCAUUUGCGGUCUGGGGGCUCGAUAUGGUUGGGCCUUUUAAAAGGUCCAAGGAUAAGAAGACCCACCUCUUGGUGGCAGUUGACAAAUUCACAAAGUUGGUUGAAGCAGAGCCAGUUAGCAAGUGUGAUGCAGCCACGGCGGUUCAGUUCAUGAAAAGGGUGAUAUUUCGCUUUGGCUUUCCACACAGCAUUAUAACUGACAAUGGUACCAAUCUGUCUAAAGGCGCCAUGGAGGAGUUUUGUCAACGAGAGCAUAUUCGACUUGAUGUUUCAUCAGUGGCUCAUCCUCAAUCCAAUGGUCAAGCUGAGAGAGCUAAUCAGGAGAUUUUGAAGGGCAUUAAGCCCCGGCUUUUAGUCCCUUUGCAACGGACGCCAGGUUGUUGGGUGGAGGAGCUACCCUCCGUGUUAUGGAGCAUCAAUACUACUCCUAACAGGUCUACGGGUUACACGCCCUUCUUCAUGGUUUAUGGAGCGGAAGCAGUCCUCCCCAGUGACAUCCGUCACGACUCGCCUCGAGUGGCGGCUUAUGUUGAGGCGGAUAAUGAACAGGCGCGCCAAGAUGCUCUUGACCCGUUGGACGAACAGCGUGACGUGGCAGCAGCUUGUUCAGCGAUUUACCAACAAGAUCUGCGCCGUUAUCACAGUCGUCGGGUUAAGUCCCGGGUCUUCCAGGAAGGUGACCUGGUGCUCCGGCUCAUCCAAGAUCAAACAGAUGCACACAAGCUAUCCCCGCCUUGGGAAGGGCCCUUUGUGGUCAGCAAGAGCUUGCACAACGGGUCAUACUACCUUAUUGACGUUCGGGAGCAUAAAGAUUCACGCAAGUCGGAGGAGGAGACCCGUCGGUCGUGGAACAUAGCUCAGCUUCGGCCUUAUUACACUUGA